UGGGGAAUUUUCCGCAAUGGGGGCAACCCUGACGGAGCAACGCCGCGUGGGGGAGGAAUGUCUGUGGAUUGUAAACCCCUUUUCUCAGGGAAGAAGUUCUGACGGUACCUGAGGAAUCAGCAUCGGCUAACUCCGUGCCAGCAGCCGCGGUAAGACGGAGGAUGCAAGCGUUAUCCGGAAUUAUUGGGCGUAAAGCGUCCGUAGGCGGUUUUUCAAGUCUGCCGUUAAAGACCACAGCUUAACUGUGGGCCGGUGGUGGAAACUGUUGAACUGGAGUACGGUAGGGGUAGAGGGAAUUCCCAGUGUAGCGGUGAAAUGCGUAGAUAUUGGGAAGAACACCAGUGGCGAAGGCGCUCUACUGGGCCGUAACUGACGCUGAGGCGCGAAAGCGUGGGGAGCAAACAGGAUUAGAUACCCCGGUAGUCC
rnacentral:rRNA from 1 species